rnacentral:rRNA from 1 species
UGAGGAAUAUUGCGCAAUGGGCGAAAGCCUGACGCAGCAACGCCGCGUGGGUGAUGAAGGCCUUCGGGUCGUAAAACCCUUUUCCAGAGGCAGAGCAAGGACGGUACUCUGGGAAUAAGCCACGGCUAACUACGUGCCAGCAGCCGCGGUAAUACGUAGGUGGCGAGCGUUAUCCGGAUUUACUGGGCGUAAAGCGCGUGCAGGCGGCUUCGCAAGUCGGAUGUUAAAUCUCUCGGCUCAACUGGGAGGUGUCGUUCGAAACUGCGAGGCUUGAGGUUGGGAGAGGGAAGCGGAAUUCCCGGUGUAGUGGUGGAAUGCGUAGAUAUCGGGAGGAACACCUGUGGCGAAAGCGGCUUCCUGGCCCACACCUGACGCUAAGACGCGAAAGCGUGGGGAGCGAACAGG